rnacentral:rRNA from 1 species
UGCGUAGGUGGCCUGAAAAGUUUGAUGUGAAAGCUCAGGGCUUAACCCUGAAAUGGCAUUGAAUACUGUCGGGCUGGAGGUUUGGAGGGGGGACUGGAAUUCUUGGUGUAGCAGUGAAAUGCGUAGAUAUCAAGAGGAACACCAGUGGCGAAGGCGAGUCCCUGGACAACACCUGACACUGAGGCACGAAAGCUAGGGGAGCAAACA